UGGGGAAUUUUUCGCAAUGGGGGCAACCCUGACGAAGCAACGCCGCGUGGGUGAUGAAGUAUUUCGGUACGUAAAACCCUUUCGACGGGGACGAAAGCCGCAAGGUUUGACGGUACCCGUAGAAGAAGCCCCGGCUAACUCCGUGCCAGCAGCCGCGGUAAUACGGGGGGGGCAAGCGUUGUUCGGAAUUACUGGGCGUAAAGGGCGCGUAGGCGGUUUGCUAAGUUGGAUGUGAAAACUCUGGGCUUAACCCAGAGCCUGCAUCCAAAACUGGCAAACUUGAGUACUGGAGGGGAAAGCGGAAUUCCUGGUGUAGCGGUGAAAUGCGUAGAUAUCAGGAGGAACACCGGUGGCGAAGGCGGCUUUCUGGACAGUAACUGACGCUGAGGCGCGAAAGCUAGGGGAGCAAACA
rnacentral:rRNA from 1 species